rnacentral:rRNA from 1 species
UAAUACAUCGGAACGUGCCCAGUAGUGGGGGAUAGCCCGGCGAAAGCCGGAUUAAUACCGCAUACGACCUACUGGUGAAAGCGGGGGAUCGCAAGACCUCGCGCUAUUGGAGCGGCCGAUGUCGGAUUAGCUUGUUGGUGAGGUAAAAGCUCACCAAGGCGACGAUCCGUAGCUGGUCUGAGAGGACGACCAGCCACACUGGGACUGAGACACGGCCCAG